rnacentral:rRNA from 1 species
UAAAAUGCCCAUCUCAUCCUAAACAUACCUGCUUCCAUCUCAAUUCAACAUCUAAGCAGGGUUUGGCCUAGUUAGGACUUGGAUGGGAGGCUACCAGAGAUUUCCAGGUAGGGUGGGAA